GGAGGGGGGGGGGCCUAAUAAUGCAAGUCGAACGCUUUGUGGUUCAACUGAUUUGAAGAGCUUGCUCAGAUAUGACGAUGGACAUUGCAAAGAGUGGCGAACGGGUGAGUAACACGUGGGAAACCUACCUCUUAGCAGGGGAUAACAUUUGGAAACAGAUGCUAAUACCGUAUAACAAUGACAACCGCAUGGUUGUUAUUUAAAAGAUGGUUCUGCUAUCACUAAGAGAUGGUCCCGCGGUGCAUUAGCUAGUUGGUAAGGUAAUGGCUUACCAAGGCGAUGAUGCAUAGCCGAGUUGAGAGACUGAUCGGCCACAAUGGGACUGAGACACGGCCCAUACUCCUACGGGAGGCAGCAGUAGGGAAUCUUCCACAAUGGGCGAAAGCCUGAUGGAGCAACGCCGCGUGUGUGAUGAAGGGUUUCGGCUCGUAAAACACUGUUGUAAGAGAAGAAUGACAUUGAGAGUAACUGUUCAAUGUGUGACGGUAUCUUACCAGAAAGGAACGGCUAAAUACGUGCCAGCAGCCGCGGUAAUACGUAUGUUCCAAGCGUUAUCCGGAUUUAUUGGGCGUAAAGCGAGCGCAGACGGUUAUUUAAGUCUGAAGUGAAAGCCCUCAGCUCAACUGAGGAAUUGCUUUGGAAACUGGAUGACUUGAGUGCAGUAGAGGAAAGUGGAACUCCAUGUGUAGCGGUGAAAUGCGUAGAUAUAUGGAAGAACACCAGUGGCGAAGGCGGCUUUCUGGACUGUAACUGACGUUGAGGCUCGAAAGUGUGGGUAGCAAACAGGAUUAGAUACCCUGGUAGUCCACACCGUAAACGAUGAGUGCUAGGUGUUUGAGGGUUUCCGCCCUUAAGUGCCGCAGCUAACGCAUUAAGCACUCCGCCUGGGGAGUACGACCGCAAGGUUGAAACUCAAAGGAAUUGACGGGGACCCGCACAAGCGGUGGAGCAUGUGGUUUAAUUCGAAGCAACGCGAAGAACCUUACCAGGUCUUGACAUCCCUUGACAACUCCAGAGAUGGAGCGUUCCCUUCGGGGACAAGGUGACAGGUGGUGCAUGGUUGUCGUCAGCUCGUGUCGUGAGAUGUUGGGUUAAGUCCCGCAACGAGCGCAACCCUUAUUACUAGUUGCCAGCAUUCAGUUGGGCACUCUAGUGAGACUGCCGGUGACAAACCGGAGGAAGGUGGGGAUGACGUCAAAUCAUCAUGCCCCUUAUGACCUGGGCUACACACGUGCUACAAUGGCGUAUACAACGAGUUGCCAACCCGCGAGGGUGAGCUAAUCUCUUAAAGUACGUCUCAGUUCGGAUUGUAGGCUGCAACUCGCCUACAUGAAGUCGGAAUCGCUAGUAAUCGCGGAUCAGCACGCCGCGGUGAAUACGUUCCCGGGUCUUGUACACACCGCCCGUCACACCAUGAGAGUUUGUAACACCCAAAGCCGGUGGGGUAACCUUCGGGAGCCAGCCCGUCUAAGGGGGACAAACGUGG
rnacentral:rRNA from 1 species